UUUAUCUUGUCGGAGUGCCCUUCCGGGCUGAGACCGUUAAUUCGGGAUCCGCGGAACCUGAUCAGGCUAAUACCUGCGUAAGGGAACAAGAGUCACCUGUUU
rfam:Pluralibacter gergoviae strain JS81F13 contig_28, whole genome shotgun sequence.